rnacentral:lncRNA from 1 species
AGACAAUCGAAGGAGAGGCAUGGAGAAAGAUCACUUAUAGAAUUUUCCUCGAGCAUCAUGUACUACAUGGACUGGAACAUGACUCUUUGAGCUUCAAUCCAGUCUUUCAAAAGCAAACUAUCCUACAGGCACUUGAUCAACGAUUCAUCCAUGUGGUUUCAUUGUCCACCUGCAUCACUCGAGUUGGCUCCUCCUCAAUAUUAGGUCUAUCAAGGAUCUCCACACAGGUCGGCCUCUAAAUAUUGGCGUAUUCUAAGGUCGAUAGCUUCGACAGUAGAUCUGCUCGGGCACUCUCCAAUCU